rnacentral:rRNA from 1 species
UACGGGGGGGGCAAGCGUUGUUCGGAAUUACUGGGCGUAAAGGGCUCGUAGGCGGCCAACUAAGUCGGACGUGAAAUCCCUCGGCUUAACCGGGGAACUGCGUCCGAUACUGGAUGGCUUGAGUUCGGGAGAGGGAUGCGGAAUUCCAGGUGUAGCGGUGAAAUGCGUAGAUAUCGGGAGGAACACCUGUGGCGAAAGCGGCUCACUGGACCACAACUGACGCUGAGGCGCGAAAGCUAGGGGAGCAAACAGG